rnacentral:rRNA from 1 species
CAGUCGCCGCGGUAAUGCGUAGGUGGCAAGCGUUGUCCGGAAUUAUUGGACGUAAAGGGCUCGCAGGCGGUUUCUUAAGUCUGAUGUGAAAGCCCCCGGCUCAACCGGGGAGGGUCAUUGGAAACUGGGAAACUUGAGUGCAGAAGAGGAGAGUGGAAUUCCACGUGUAGCGGUGAAAUGCGUAGAGAUGUGGAGGAACACCAGUGGCGAAGGCGACUCUCUGGUCUGUAACUGACGCUGAGGAGCGAAAGCGUGGGGAGCGAACAGGAUUAGAUACCCGCGUAGUCCCUGUCUCUUAUAA